rnacentral:rRNA from 1 species
GAUGAACGCUAGCUACAGGCUUAACACAUGCAAGUCGAGGGGCAGCAUGACGAUAGCUUGCUACUGUUGAUGGCGACCGGCGCACGGGUGAGUAACGCGUAUCCAACCUGCCCUUGUCCACCGGAUAACCCGUCGAAAGGCGGACUAACACGGUAUGCAGUCCACAGCAGACAUCUAACGUGGACGAAAUGUGAAGGAGAAGGAUGGGGAUGCGUCUGAUUAGCUUGUUGGCGGGGUAACGGCCCACCAAGGCGACGAUCAGUAGGGGUUCUGAGAGGAAGGUCCCCCACAUUGGAACUGAGACACGGUCCAAACUCCUACGGGAGGCAGCAGUGAGGAAUAUUGGUCAAUGGGCGUGAGCCUGAACCAGCCAAGUAGCGUGCAGGAAGACGGCCCUAUGGGUUGUAAACUGCUUUUAUACGGGGAUAAAGUGAGUCACGUGUGGCUUAUUGCAGGUACCGAAUGAAUAAGGACCGGCUAAUUCCGUGCCAGCAGCCGCCGUAA